rnacentral:rRNA from 1 species
AUUGAACGCUGGCGGCAGGCCUAACACAUGCAAGUCGAACGAGUGGCGGACGGGUGAGUAAUGUCUGGGAAACCGCCUGAUGGAGGGGGAUCACUUCUGAAAACGGUAGCUAAUCCCGCAUACCAUCAGAUGUGCCCAGAUGGGAUUAGCUUGUUGGUGGGGUAACGGCUCACCAAGGCGACGAUCCCUCGCUGGUCUGAGAGGAUGAACAGCCACACUGGAACUGAGACACGGUCCAGACUCCUACGGGAGGCAGCAGUGGGGAAUAUUGCACAAUGGGCGCAAGCCUGAUGCAGCCAUGCCGCGUGUAUGAAGAAGGCCUUCGGGUUGUAAAGUACUUUCAGCGGGGAGGCGUUACCCGCAGAAGAAGCACCGGCUAACUCCGUGCCAGCAGCCGCGGUAAUUC